GGGUUGUGAGGUUAAGCGACUAAGCGUACACGGUGGAUGCCCUGGCAGUCAGAGGCGAUGAAGGACGUGCUAAUCUGCGAUAAGCGUCGGUAAGGUGAUAUGAACCGUUAUAACCGGCGAUUUCCGAAUGGGGAAACCCAGUGUGAUUCGUCACACUAUCAUUAACUGAAUCCAUAGGUUAAUGAGGCGAACCGGGGGAACUGAAACAUCUAAGUACCCCGAGGAAAAGAAAUCAACCGAGAUUCCCCCAGUAGCGGCGAGCGAACGGGGAGCAGCCCAGAGCCUGAAUCAGUGUGUGUGUUAGUGGAAGCGUCUGGAAAGGCGCGCGAUACAGGGUGACAGCCCCGUACACAAAAAUGCACAUGCUGUGAGCUCGAUGAGUAGGGCGGGACACGUGGUAUCCUGUCUGAAUAUGGGGGGACCAUCCUCCAAGGCUAAAUACUCCUGACUGACCGAUAGUGAACCAGUACCGUGAGGGAAAGGCGAAAAGAACCCCGGCGAGGGGAGUGAAAAAGAACCUGAAACCGUGUACGUACAAGCAGUGGGAGCACAGAGCAAUCUGUGUGACUGCGUACCUUUUGUAUAAUGGGUCAGCGACUUAUAUUCUGUAGCAAGGUUAACCGAAUAGGGGAGCCGAAGGGAAACCGAGUCUUAACUGGGCGUUAAGUUGCAGGGUAUAGACCCGAAACCCGGUGAUCUAGCCAUGGGCAGGUUGAAGGUUGGGUAACACUAACUGGAGGACCGAACCGACUAAUGUUGAAAAAUUAGCGGAUGACUUGUGGCUGGGGGUGAAAGGCCAAUCAAACCGGGAGAUAGCUGGUUCUCCCCGAAAGCUAUUUAGGUAGCGCCUCGUGAAUUCAUCUCCGGGGGUAGAGCACUGUUUCGGCAAGGGGGUCAUCCCGACUUACCAACCCGAUGCAAACUGCGAAUACCGGAGAAUGUUAUCACGGGAGACACACGGCGGGUGCUAACGUCCGUCGUGAAGAGGGAAACAACCCAGACCGCCAGCUAAGGUCCCAAAGUCAUGGUUAAGUGGGAAACGAUGUGGGAAGGCCCAGACAGCCAGGAUGUUGGCUUAGAAGCAGCCAUCAUUUAAAGAAAGCGUAAUAGCUCACUGGUCGAGUCGGCCUGCGCGGAAGAUGUAACGGGGCUAAACCAUGCACCGAAGCUGCGGCAGCGACGCUGAUGCGUUGUUGGGUAGGGGAGCGUUCUGUAAGCCUGCGAAGGUGUGCUGUGAGGCAUGCUGGAGGUAUCAGAAGUGCGAAUGCUGACAUAAGUAACGAUAAAGCGGGUGAAAAGCCCGCUCGCCGGAAGACCAAGGGUUCCUGUCCAACGUUAAUCGGGGCAGGGUGAGUCGACCCCUAAGGCGAGGCCGAAAGGCGUAGUCGAUGGGAAACAGGUUAAUAUUCCUGUACUUGGUGUUACUGCGAAGGGGGGACGGAGAAGGCUAUGUUGGCCGGGCGACGGUUGUCCCGGUUUAAGCGUGUAGGCUGGUUUUCCAGGCAAAUCCGGAAAAUCAAGGCUGAGGCGUGAUGACGAGGCACUACGGUGCUGAAGCAACAAAUGCCCUGCUUCCAGGAAAAGCCUCUAAGCAUCAGGUAACAUCAAAUCGUACCCCAAACCGACACAGGUGGUCAGGUAGAGAAUACCAAGGCGCUUGAGAGAACUCGGGUGAAGGAACUAGGCAAAAUGGUGCCGUAACUUCGGGAGAAGGCACGCUGAUAUGUAGGUGAAGUCCCUCGCGGAUGGAGCUGAAAUCAGUCGAAGAUACCAGCUGGCUGCAACUGUUUAUUAAAAACACAGCACUGUGCAAACACGAAAGUGGACGUAUACGGUGUGACGCCUGCCCGGUGCCGGAAGGUUAAUUGAUGGGGUUAGCGCAAGCGAAGCUCUUGAUCGAAGCCCCGGUAAACGGCGGCCGUAACUAUAACGGUCCUAAGGUAGCGAAAUUCCUUGUCGGGUAAGUUCCGACCUGCACGAAUGGCGUAAUGAUGGCCAGGCUGUCUCCACCCGAGACUCAGUGAAAUUGAACUCGCUGUGAAGAUGCAGUGUACCCGCGGCAAGACGGAAAGACCCCGUGAACCUUUACUAUAGCUUGACACUGAACAUUGAGCCUUGAUGUGUAGGAUAGGUGGGAGGCUUUGAAGUGUGGACGCCAGUCUGCAUGGAGCCGACCUUGAAAUACCACCCUUUAAUGUUUGAUGUUCUAACGUUGACCCGUAAUCCGGGUUGCGGACAGUGUCUGGUGGGUAGUUUGACUGGGGCGGUCUCCUCCUAAAGAGUAACGGAGGAGCACGAAGGUUGGCUAAUCCUGGUCGGACAUCAGGAGGUUAGUGCAAUGGCAUAAGCCAGCUUGACUGCGAGCGUGACGGCGCGAGCAGGUGCGAAAGCAGGUCAUAGUGAUCCGGUGGUUCUGAAUGGAAGGGCCAUCGCUCAACGGAUAAAAGGUACUCCGGGGAUAACAGGCUGAUACCGCCCAAGAGUUCAUAUCGACGGCGGUGUUUGGCACCUCGAUGUCGGCUCAUCACAUCCUGGGGCUGAAGUAGGUCCCAAGGGUAUGGCUGUUCGCCAUUUAAAGUGGUACGCGAGCUGGGUUUAGAACGUCGUGAGACAGUUCGGUCCCUAUCUGCCGUGGGCGCUGGAGAAUUGAGGGGGGCUGCUCCUAGUACGAGAGGACCGGAGUGGACGCAUCACUGGUGUUCGGGUUGUCAUGCCAAUGGCACUGCCCGGUAGCUAAAUGCGGAAGAGAUAAGUGCUGAAAGCAUCUAAGCACGAAACUUGCCCCGAGAUGAGUUCUCCCUGACUCCUUGAGAGUCCUGAAGGAACGUUGAAGACGACGACGUUGAUAGGCCGGGUGUGUAAGCGCAGCGAUGCGUUGAGCUAACCGGUACUAAUGAACCGUGAGGCUUAACCUUACAACGCCGAAGCUGUU
rnacentral:rRNA from 1 species